CAAACUAACUUGGACUUCAUUGCACCAUUUUGGGCGCCGGCAGCUCCUUCCUUCGCCAUGGAUACACCAUAGACAUGUUAAGGACAGCGAUCCGGGUGCAUGGGAGCAACUGCUGAUGGAGGUUGAGUCAAAGUGUCAUGACUGGCUGCUGCAGAUCUUUGGCACGGAGUUCGACAAAGACACUCCUCUCAUGAGUUCUACUUCCUCAAGAUAGGAGUGAGAUUCGAUGGGACAUGACCAGAUUAUGAUGUUGGACUAGCAAAUUUAGCAGAUGAUGAUGUUGUACAUCAAUUCAGACUCGAGAGACCGUAAGCUAAAAGAAAAAAAUAUACAGGAGUUCAAAGUCGAGAAAUAGGGGGAUGUUUGUUCGUAUGUCUAAAAAUAAUUGAGUUUAUAUAGGAGUUCAAAUGGAUAAAAAAUGAAUAUUUAUAUGUUUGAAGUUCAUUGACCAAAAUUCUAAAAGUUCAAAUUGAGAAAAGUGGUAAGUUCGGACGAAAAAUAAAUGAGCCAUUCGACAAUUUCACUGAGAAAAAGGUAAGGAGUUUAUGUAUAACUGUAGCUAGUGCCCCAUGAAUCAACAUAGCAAUGUAGUAAAAAAAGUUUGUUUACAUCUCUCUAGCUGUAUGAGAGUGAAUGUUUUGUUAUUAUAUCUGUUUCAUUGCUUGUCUUCAGUCACCUAAAUAAGGUCAUGAAAAAUCUGUAAGUUUGGUGCGUGUGCUGUUACAAAUCUAAACUUCUUGUCCAGUAAUUCUAGUACCGAUGAACAUCGAGUUGAUUGAAAUUAUGUACUCCUAGUUGGUUUCUGAGACCCUUACUGGUCCUUCUAUAUUUAGAAGUUGUGCCUGAUAGCCAUACAUGACUUCUCUGUAUGACAAAUGGUGCGAGAAAAUUCUGAAUACAUGGCACGACCGCUCUUGGACACUAAACAUGUAUACCUUAUUUAUUUGUGCAUCCAGUCUGUGCAUCUUCUGUUCUAAAAUUCCUAGAGCGUCAGUGCAACUACAUAUCAGGGUAUACUAUGUUGAUUCUAUGAUUUUCCAUAUGCUUGUAUGUAAAAAAAUGGUAUAUUUACUGCUUCAUUUUCUUGUGGUGCAAAUGUUGUUGAUGUACAUAAUUUUUGCUGACCACCAGCCUCCCCCACUGCGCCGCCGCCCCGACCACCAGCCUCCCCGGGCAUGGUACGCAAUCCACUCCUUGUGCCACACCGUUCUCCAUGCCCCGCCCUGCGCCACCAGCCGCCGCCUCCCUCCCGCGCGCCACCCGCGACUGCCAUGCCAAGGCUUGCGCUCAGCGGCUGGGGGGGCAACGGGGUCAAGGAUCUUCAUCUCGGCAGUACAACUGCAUGCCCCGUCCAUGUUCAUGAAAAGUUCUGCAUGCAGGCCACCCGUGCUCUGCCUUGGAUCCGUUCAACAAUCCAGUCGUCGUCAUCAUGGUUUCUGCCCGACGACCGUCAUACUUUUCUCAGUCCAACUUCUUGUUUCGCCGCCGGUCACUCAAUAAAGAGUCGUGUGCAAGCCACCCCUUGCUCCCCCCCUGAUCCAACAUUUUUGUUCAACAGGGGCGUGGGGUUCAGUUCGACGGUGACGAGCCAGGCAGCCGGCCUUCGCAUAAUGAACUGGUGCAGUUCGAUCUUGUGCGAAUUGGAAAUCCCCUGAUGCUGAGUGUGUCAGUACAACCCUACGCUACAAGGCACGCGUACAUCCACUUCACGUGUUAGUCAAAAGUAUUGUGCGUUUGCUUGGUACCUUUGCUACUCUAGUUACAUAUCACUUGUGAAAUCAAAAAUAUUUUGUUGUUCACUUUUUUGUGUUUUGUUGAAUAAAUCUCAUGCUGUCUUUUCUGUGAGCUACAAAAUCAUAGUGCUUAAAAUACCGAUGUGUGCGUCAUACUUGAAUUGAAGAAGUUACAGGAGAAAGUACCCCUAUUCCGUUACUUUGAGAAUUACAAGUACACCUUUCUGAUAGUACAGUGCAUGCCCUGCACAAAUGGCGCAGUGGUAGAUGCUUGGUGAAGUCCGUUAUAGCUUGAUGUUUAUUCCAAGGGAGUUCAUGUCGAACUACACUUCAACUAUGCAUGAUGCUUUUUUUCGGAGAAAGAAACUAUGGAAGGUUCAAAUUAUCUUGAUAGUUCAAUCACUGAAAAAUGAGGAGUUCUGAGGGUUACAUAAAAACUUUCUUUACAAAAAAAGAGUAGAACAAGUAAUGAUCAUAUUUGUCAUCAUGCUUUUAGCUAAAUUAGUGUAUGACUGAAACUCAGUUCCAUUUAGAUCACUAAUUACUCUAAAAGGUGAUUUGAAGUUUCAUCCACAUCAUGUUCUUGCAUCAUGUGGCACUGUUUGAUGUACCACUGAAUUUAGUUUGGUUCAGUUCUUAUUCCAGUGACCAAGUUAGGUCAAUUUUUAUUUUUGUGUUCAAUUCAGUUCAGUUUCUGCCCCACAUAUAAGUUCACCUAUUUUAUUGCUAAAAUAGGUUCGUUUUGUUCCCAGUAGGAUCUUGCCAUGAUUACCUUUGUGAAACCUGUACACUCAACACUCAUAUCUAUGUAUUGAGAACCAGAUUUUCUUUUUAUAAUAAGCUUUACUUUCAUACUGACAUUUCAUUUAUGUUCUUUUACAGUAGAACAAAUACUAUGUUUUAUGCCAAGUAAGUUCAAACAGAACGAAAGUGGAGCUUCAUUUGCAAAGAAUAGAAAAGGAACACAUGUUUCAUUUAUGUUUUCGAUGAAUCUAGCCUGAACUGAAGCCUGUCGGUGAGCCGGGCGCUGGGCCAACCACAAGGCAAUGCCACCGAGGAGGACGCUCGAUAGCCGCCGAGCGCCGUGUGAGCCUUUUCGAUCCCAUUUCCAGGUUGAACUCCAAGGAUCACGCCGUGGGGUGUGCAAAGGUGCUAGCUAGCCCCUGCUUCCAUUUUUCUUCAAAAGCUUUGCUAACCCAUUAGCCACUUAUAAGAUGACUUUGCUUCCAAUUAGCCACUUAAAGCUGUGGCCAUUUAAUGAAAAAUCUUUUCUAUAGAACCAGUUUCUAACAUUGUUGCCGCGUGUACGCGUCCCACUCCAACGGCAUGGCUUAUGCUUUAGUGGCAAACAGUGGAGCCUGCUGGAGGAGUCAUGGGGAAACAUAAUGAGUUCUACAGAAAUAAAUAUAGAAGUUCAUAUUUCAAAACAAAUGAAGUAUUUGGGAAGUAAAAUGAAGUAUCUCAAAGUACACAUCUUUUUAGGUUUCGUUGUGAACAUGCAAUGUUACUGUACACGAACUUGUUCUUUUUACAUGAACUUUUGCGUGCUAAUUGGUGGCUGUUGUGUUUGUGCAAGAAUGGUGGCAUGAAGCAGUUGAGUAGGUGUGCAUGGCCGUUCACUGCCUCAACACAAGGCCGUUCGGUGACGCAACGCUCAAGCCGUUCACCCUUGCCACCACAAGCCGUUCACCUCCGCCACACAAGGUCGUGCGACAACGCAGUGAUCAGGUUCUUCGCCUCUACCACCGCGAGCCAUUCACCUUUGCCACAGGUGGUCGACGCAGCGCUAAGGAUGUUUUGUUCUUUUUCAGUACAUGUUAUGUGUGCUUUUCAGUUCACCUACUUGGCGAUUCUAUGUCCAAUUUCCCCUCUGUUUAUGUGUUUUCCUAUAGCACAAGAAGUGUUGUGUGUUAUGACUUAAUAAGCAAAUAUUGUUUUGUUCUCAGUAUUCUCAUGUAGGCCAAAAUGGUGAACAUUUAAACAUCAGCCCAAAUUAAUAAA